rnacentral:rRNA from 1 species
GACGAACGCUGGCGGCGUGCCUAAUACAUGCAAGUAGAACGCUGAAGGAGGAGCUUGCUUCUCUGGAUGAGUUGCGAACGGGUGAGUAACGCGUAGGUAACCUGCCUGUUAGCGGGGGAUAACUAUUGGAAACGAUAGCUAAUACCGCAUAAGAGUAGAUGUUGCAUGACAUUUGCUUAAAAGGUGCAAUUGCAUCACUACCAGAUGGACCUGCGUUGUAUUAGCUAGUUGGUGGGGUAACGGCUCACCAAGGCGACGAUACAUAGCCGACCUGAGAGGGUGAUCGGCCACACUGGGACUGAGACACGGCCCAGACUCCUACGGGAGGCAGCAGUAGGGAAUCUUCGGCAAUGGACGGAAGUCUGACCGAGCAACGCCGCGUGAGUGAAGAAGGUUUUCGGAUCGUAAAGCUCUGUUGUAAGAGAAGAACGAGUGUGAGAGUGGAAAGUUCACACUGUGACGGUAUCUUACCAGAAAGGGACGGCUAACUACGUG